rnacentral:rRNA from 1 species
AUUGAACGCUGGCGGCAGGCUUAACACAUGCAAGUCGAGCGGAGUGAUGGUGCUUGCACUAUCACUUAGCGGCGGACGGGUGAGUAAUGCUUAGGAAUCUGCCUAUUAGUGGGGGACAACAUCUCGAAAGGGAUGCUAAUACCGCAUACGUCCUACGGGAGAAAGCAGGGGAUCACUUGUGACCUUGCGCUAAUAGAUGAGCCUAAGUCGGAUUAGCUAGUUGGUGGGGUAAAGGCCUACCAAGGCGACGAUCUGUAGCGGGGCUGAGAGGAUGAUCCGCCACACUGGGACUGAGACACGGCCCAGACUCCUACGGGAGGCAGCAGUGGGGAAUAUUGGACAAUGGGGGGAACCCUGAUCCAGCCAUGCCGCGUGUGUGAAGAAGGCCUUAUGGUUGUAAAGCACUUUAAGCGAGGAGGAGGCUCUUUCGGUUAAUACCCAAGAUGAGUGGACGUUACUCGCAGAAUAAGCACCGGCUAACUCUGUGCCAGCCGCCGCAGUAA